rnacentral:rRNA from 1 species
UGGGUAACCUGCCCAUAAGACUGGGAUAACUCCGGGAAACCGGGGCUAAUACCGGAUAACAUUUUGAACCGCAUGGUUCGAAAUUGAAAGGCGGCUUCGGCUGUCACUUAUGGAUGGACCCGCGUCGCAUUAGCUAGUUGGUGAGGUAACGGCUCACCAAGGCAACGAUGCGUAGCCGACCUGAGAGGGUGAUCGGCCACACUGGGACUGAGACACGGCCCAGACUCCUACGGGAGGCAGCAGUAGGGAAUCUUCCGCAAUGGACGAAAGUCUGACGGAGCAACGCCGCGUGAGUGAUGAAGGCUUUCGGGUCGUAAAACUCUGUUGUUAGGGAAGAACAAGUGCUAGUUGAAUAAGCUGGCACCUUGACGGUACCUAACCAGAAAGCCACGGCUAACUACGUGCCAGCAGCCGCGGUAAUACGUAGGUGGCAAGCGUUAUCCGGAAUUAUUGGGCGUAAAGCGCGCGCAGGUGGUUUCUUAAGUCUGAUGUGAAAGCCCACGGCUCAACCGUGGAGGGUCAUUGGAAACUGGGAGACUUGAGUGCAGAAGAGGAAAGUGGAAUUCCAUGUGUAGCGGUGAAAUGCGUA